UACGUAGGGUCCGAGCGUUGUCCGGAAUUACUGGGCGUAAAGAGCUCGUAGGUGGUUUGUCGCGUUGUUCGUGAAAACUCACAGCUUAACUGUGGGCGUGCGGGCGUGACGGGGCAGACUGGAGUACUGCAGGGGAGACUGGAAUUCCUGGUGUAGCGGUGGAAUGCGCAGAGUAUCAGGAGGAACACCGGUGGCGAAGGCGGGUCUCUGGGCAGUGAACUGACGCUGAGGAGCGAAAAGCGUGGGGAGCGAAACAGG
rnacentral:rRNA from 1 species